GUGGGGAAUAUUGGACAAUGGGCGAAAGCCUGAUCCAGCCAUGCCGCGUGUGUGAAGAAGGUCUUCGGAUUGUAAAGCACUUUAAGUUGGGAGGAAGGGCAGUAAGUUAAUACCUUGCUGUUUUGACGUUACCGACAGAAUAAGCACCGGCUAACUUCGUGCCAGCAGCCGCGGUAAUACGAAGGGUGCAAGCGUUAAUCGGAAUUACUGGGCGUAAAGCGCGCGUAGGUGGUUGUGUAAGUUGGAGGUGAAAUCCCCGGGCUCAACCUGGGAACUGCCUCCAAAACUGCAUGACUAGAGUACGGUAGAGGGUAGUAGAAUUUCCUGUGUAGCGGUGAAAUGCGUAGAUAUAGGAAGGAACACCAGUGGCGAAGGCGACUACCUGGACUGAUACUGACACUGAGGUGCGAAAGCGUGGGGAGCAAACAGGAUUAGAAACCCGUGUAGUCC
rnacentral:rRNA from 1 species